rnacentral:rRNA from 1 species
UACGUAGGGGGCUAGCGUUGUUCGGAAUUACUGGGCGUAAAGCGCUCGUAGGCGGCUUUGUAAGUUAGAGGUGAAAGCCCAGGGCUUAACCCUGGAAUUGCCUUUAAGACUGCAUCGCUAGAAUCGUGGAGAGGUGAGUGGAAUUCCGAGUGUAGAGGUGAAAUGCGUAGAUAUUCGGAAGAACACCGGUGGCGAAGGCGACUCACUGGACAUGUAUUGACGCUGAGGUGCGAAAGCGUGGGGAGCAAACAGG